UACGGGGGGUGCAACCGUUGCUCGGAAUUAUUGGGCGUAAAGCGCACGUAGGCGGCUCGUUAAGUCGGAUGUGAAAUCCCUCGGCUCAACCGAGGAAGUGCAUCCGAAACUGGCGAGCUUGAGUACGGAAGAGGGUCUCGGAAUUCCCGGUGUAGAGGUGAAAUUCGUAGAUAUCGGGAGGAACACCAGUGGCGAAGGCGGAGACCUGGGCCGAUACUGACGCUGAGGUGCGAAAGCGUGGGGAGCAAACAGG
rnacentral:rRNA from 1 species